AGAGGGGGCAAGCGUUGCUCGGAAUUACUGGGCGUAAAGGGCGCGUAGGCGGGAUGGCAAGUCGGUCGUGAAAUCCCUUGGCUCAACUGAGGGGAGUCGGCCGAUACUGCUGUUCUUGAGGGAUGCAGAGGAGACUGGAAUUCCCGGUGUAGCGGUGAAAUGUGUAGAGAUCGGGAGGAACACCGGUGGCGAAGGCGGGUCUCUGGGCAUCUCCUGACGCUGAGGCGCGAAAGCGUGGGGAGCAAACGGGAUUAGAUACCCCGGUAGUCCACGCUGUAAACGAUGACGACUAGGUGUGGGGUGGUUCAGUCCACUCCGUGCCGCAGCUAACGCAUUAAGUCGUCCGCCUGGGGAGUACGGCCGCAAGGUUGAA
rnacentral:rRNA from 1 species